CAGUUCGUACUGUGAAGCAUCCUGUUAAGUCAGGCAACGAGCGAGACCACGCCAACAGUUGCCAGCUCGUCCUCCGGGAUGGUGGGGACACUGUUGGGACCGCCUCUGCUAAAGAGGAGGAAGGAAUGGGCAACGGUAGGUCAGCAUGCCCCGAAUUAUCUGGGCUACACGCGGGCUACAAUGGGUGGGACAAUGGGUAUCGACACCGAAAGGUGAAGGCAAUCUCCUAAACCCAUCCGUAGUUCGGAUUGUGGGCUGCAACUCGCCCACAUGAAGCUGGAAUCUGUAGUAAUCGUGUCUCAAAAUGGCACGGUGAAUAUGUCCCUGCUCCUU
rnacentral:rRNA from 1 species